UGACCCCAGAUUAGGCGAGAUUACCCGCUGAGUUUAAGCAUAUCAAUAAGCGGAGGAAAAGAAACUUACAAGGAUUCCCUUAGUAACGGGGAGCUAAUCGGGAACAACACAACCUUAGAAUCGGGCGGCUCCAUCGUCCGAAUUGUAUUAUGGAGAAGCGUCCUCAGCGGAGGAUCGGGCCCAUGUCCCCUGGAAGGGGACGCCAGAGAGGGUGACAGCCCCGUUGUCCCUGGACCCUGCCACACGACGAGGCGCUGUCUACGAGUCGGGCUGUUUGGGAAUGCAACCCAAAACAGGCGGUGAAUUUCGUCCUAGGCUAAAUACAGGAGAGACACCGAUAACUAACACGUACCACGAGGGAAAGAUUAAAAGGACUUUGAAAAUACAGUCUAAGAGUGCUUUGGGAGGAAAGUAGAUGGAAGCUGACGAUGCACCCGGGUUAGAUGUGGAACGGUGACGAGCUGGUUCGUCGAUCGACUCGAGGUGUGGACCAGCGUGGAUUAGGGGGCGGUCAAAGCCUGGGUUCUUGAUAUGCCCGUGGAAUGCUUUCUCUUUGAUUUUGGUACGAAACGUGCGCUUCUGGCGUGCUUCGACAUCUGUGUGCUCCGGACACUGGCUGUGGGCUCCCCAUUCGACCCGUCUUUAAACACGGACCAAGGAGUUUGACAUGUGUCCGAGUCAACGGGCUAGUAAAUUCGUAAGGCAUAAGGAAUCUGAUUGGUGGGAUCCUCUUGAGGGGUGCACCGCCGACCGACCUUGAUCUUCUGAGAAGGGUUCGAGUGUGAGCAUACCUGUUGGGACGCGAAAGAUGGUGAACUAUGCCUGAGCGGGGAGAAGCUAAAGCAUACUCUAGUGGAGGACCGUUGUGAUACUGACGUGCAAAUCGUUCAUCUGACUUGGGUAUAGGGGCUAAAGACUAAUUGAACCAUCUAGUAGAUAGUUCCCUUCGAAGUUUCCCUCAGAAUAGCUAGAGAUUGGGUGCGAAUUUUAUCGGAUAAAGCCAAUGAUUUGAGGCUUCAUGGGGCAACACCCUGACCAAUUUUCAAACUUUAAUCAGAAGGAUGACGUGACUGCUUUGUUGAGCUGCACUACGGAAUCAAGAACUCCAAGUGGGCCAUUUUUGGUAAGCUGGACUGGCGAUGAGGGAUGAACCAAAAGCCGGCUUACGGUUCCAAACUGCAUUCUAACGAAGAUCCAACAAAGGGUGUUGGUCAAUUAAGACAGCAGGAAAGUGGUCAUAGAAGUCAAAACCUACUAAGGAGUGUGUACCAACUCACUUGCCGAGUAAACUAGCCCCGAAAAUGGAUGGGCGCUUAAGUGCGCGACCUACACUUAGCUGUCGGGGUAAGUGUCCAGACCCCGAUGAGUUGGAGGGGAAUGGCGGUAGCUACAAAACCUUGGGCAUGAGCCUGUGCAGAGAAGCCGUUAAGUGUAGAUCUUUGUGGUAGUAGAAAAU
rnacentral:ncRNA from 1 species